rnacentral:misc_RNA from 1 species
UUUCCGUAGGUGAACCUGCGGAGGGAUCAUUACAGAGUUCAUGCCCUCCUGGUAUAUCUCCCACCCAUUGCUCUAACUACUCUCGUUGCUUUUGCGGGCCGCCGGGCCCUGCCCGGCCGCCGGCCCCGGCUGGCGCGUGCCCGCCAGAGACCUCACAAACUCUGAAUGUUAGUGUCGUCAGAGUAACUAUACAAUCGUUAAAACUUUCAACAACGGAUCUCUUGGUUCUG